UUACAUUGCGGACGUUACGUCACUUGAGUGUAGCGAUUAAACGAAAACCCUGUUGGUCAAGACUCAGAGGCGACUAUUCAACCUCCACGGCGGCAGAAGACGAUAUAUCAAAAGAGACAGUAUUUAGGCCUAGAUAAGUUCAUAAACAUAGUAGUCCUAGUGGGGAAUUUGUUGAUAUCAGGGAAUUAGUGCCAGCGAGAGUCUAUUGUGUGACAACUUCGUUGAAAUUCGUUCCAUUUAGUCGCCCCGGGAGAGUAGUGGCGUGUUUUUAUGGACGGCUCACUGGCGCCAGUUCACAAUGAACCCGGCAUAUGCAUUUCAAAUUUUAAUAACCUGGUGUUUUAAGCCCAUAUUUGUUUACCAGAGGCGGAAUCGCGGGUUUGACGUCUUAACGCUGCUGUGGUAUCGAUGCGAGUUGAUGAUUUUGGACCCACUUGACAAAAAGACGCGAAUAUCGGCAAGGUUUCGACGCGAAAUCGAACGAAAUCGACGAGUUUGGCCGCCGGAAGCCGGCCGACAAGCUGUCUGCAAGGGCUUAUGACAGACCGAUUAGUCGUUGUGGGGAGCGGGGGUGUUUUGUGAUUUGGCGACAUUCUGUCGCCGGCGACAAUGGAGGUCUGAAGAUUGGGGGUAAUGUUGAAUUUGCAGUAUUUUGAGAAUCCAUGGAUAGUCGAUCAACUGAUGGCUAGGGUAUUGGCCUCCUGUGAAUAGCGUAUCUUGUGUUUUCGAAAUGAUAAUUAGUUGAGUUAAAAAAAAAAAAUUAAAAAAAGCUAGUCUUCGCUUCCUCAUAAGAUUUCAACCACCAAGCGCUGAUCAGCAGGUACAAUAUAAAGAGAUAGUGAUCUUUGCUGAUGAACCGGAGGUCACUUUGUUUUUAAUAGCAGGAAUAGCCUGUGGGCUUACGUUUAACUACGGCCCCUGACUGCCUUCAAUUCAUCAUUGGUGACCUACCAAAGCAGAUGCUGCUGAUCUUAUCGUAUUUUACUCUGAAUGUUAUUCAUGAGCGGCUUCACACCACUGUCUGUCCUUAGCAGUGGAUAAGAAACUGGUUGUUUCUUCGACGCUCGAAACUAUCGUCAAAUCGGACGAAACUGCAGAAAAUAAACACACUGAUAAGAUGGGAAAUUACUCAAGAGGAGAGAAUAAAACUGAAGGGUGCGACGAUGACUGAGAACGGAGAAGGUUACAAUGGAUUAUGGAUAUUAUGAAUGGAUUAUUAUGGAUUAUGGGAAUGAAGAGUUUGAAAAAAAUUUAGGCCACAAUUUUUACUCCCCUUCGAAGUUUGUUUUUCGUUGUAUUUGCAGCAAGAUUUGUACUUUCGUUCCAUUUUCAGUAAGUUUAUGUUUGCUAUAAAUGGAAACGGCAAAGAAGAAAAUGAAUUCUUAUGACAACUUAGUUAAAAAAAAAAAAAAA